rnacentral:lncRNA from 1 species
AAAAAUGUUGAUGUUUGUAAGGAAAACAAUAAGGUACAUUGUUGUUGUUAUGUUUGAUUAGAAAACUGAGUUCAUAAGGUACAUUGUUGUUGUUAUGUUUGAUAAGUAAUAAUGUUGAUAAUAGAAAAUGUUGAUAAUAGAAUAAUGUUGAUAAGAGAAAAGUAAUGGAAGAAAAAGUUUGAUUCUUGUAAUAGAAAAAAUGAAAGUG